AAUAGAUACCCAGGUAGUCCAUGCCGUAAACGUUGGGCACUAGGUGUGGGGGACAUUCCACGUUUUCCGCGCCGUAGCUAACGCAUUAAGUGCCCCGCCUGGGGAGUACGGCCGCAAGGCUAAAACUCAAAGGAAUUGACGGGGGCCCGCACAAGCGGCGGAGCAUGCGGAUUAAUUCGAUGCAACGCGAAGAACCUUACCAAGGCUUGACAUGUUCCAGACCGGGCUAGAGAUAGUCCUUCCCUUCGGGGCUGGUUCACAGGUGGUGCAUGGUUGUCGUCAGCUCGUGUCGUGAGAUGUUGGGUUAAGUCCCGCAACGAGCGCAACCCUCGUUCCAUGUUGCCAGCACGUAGUAGUGGGGACUCAUGGGAGACUGCCGGGGUCAACUCGGAGGAAGGUGGGGAUGACGUCAAAUCAUCAUGCCCCUUAUGUCUUGGGCUUCACGCAUGCUACAAUGGCCGGUACAAUGGGUUGCGAUACUGUGAGGUGGAGCUAAUCCCUAAAAGCCGGUCUCAGUUCGGAUUGGGGUCUGCAACUCCG
rnacentral:rRNA from 1 species